rnacentral:rRNA from 1 species
AUGAACGCUGGCGGCGUGCCUAAUACAUGCCGGUCGAGCGAACAGACGAGGAGCUUGCUCCUCUGACGUUAGCGGCGGACGGGUGAGUAACACGUGGAUAACCUACCUAUAAGACUGGGAUAACUUCGGGAAAACGGAGCUAAUACCGGAUAAUAUAUUGAACCGCAUGGUUCAAUAGUGAAAGACGGUUUUUGUGUCACUUAUAGAUUGAUCCGCGCCGCAUUAGCUAGUUGGUAAGGUAACGGCUUACCAAGGCGACGAUGCGUAGCCGACCUGAGAGGGUGAUCGGCCCCACUGGAACUGAGACACGGUCCAGACUCCUACGGGAGGCAGAAGUAGGGAAUUUGCCGCAAUGGGCGAAAGCCUGACGGAGCAACGCCGCGUGAGUGAUGAAGGUCUUCGGAUCGUAAAACUCUGUUAUUAGGGAAGAAAAAAUGUGUAAGUAACUAUGCACGUCUUGACGGUACCUAAUCAGAAAGCCACGGCUAACUACGUG